UACGUAGGGUGCAAGCGUUGUCCGGAAUUAUUGGGCGUAAAGAGCUCGUAGGCGGUCUGUCGCGUCGGACGUGAAAAUCCAGGGCUCAACCCUGGACCUGCGUUCGAUACGGGCAGACUAGAGUUCGGUAGGGGAGACUGGAAUUCCUGGUGUAGCGGUGAAAUGCGCAGAUAUCAGGAGGAACACCGGUGGCGAAGGCGGCUCACUGGCCCGGUACUGACGCUGAGGUGCGAAAGCGUGGGGAGCAAACAGG
rnacentral:rRNA from 1 species